rnacentral:rRNA from 1 species
UACAGAGGUGGCAAGCGUUGUUCGGAAUUACUGGGCGUAAAGCGUGCGCAGGCGGUGAUGUAAGACAGGUGUGAAAUCCCCGGGCUUAACCUGGGAACUGCAUUUGUGACUGCAUCGCUGGAGUGCGGCAGAGGGGGAUGGAAUUCCGCGUGUAGCAGUGAAAUGCGUAGAUAUGCGGAGGAACACCGAUGGCGAAGGCAAUCCCCUGGGCCUGUACUGACGCUCAUGCACGAAAGCGUGGGGAGCAAACAGG